rnacentral:lncRNA from 1 species
UAUCCUACACCUUUCUCCUUAUCCUUCACUCAUCUCUCCUUAAUCACAUUGAUUCUAAACGCGUUUUACAUCCUUUGCCGUUUCAACCUUCAUUCUAAACGCGUUUACAUCCUCUGCCGUUUCAACCUUCAAGAUCAUCUCUUCCGAUCUGUAUUAAUCGCAUUUCAUAGCCCUUCAAAUUCCCCUUCAAUCGCAUCUCUCUUCCCCUUUCGGUUCCUGUUUCGAAUCAGAUAUUUUUCUCUCAUCGCUCCCUUCCUCUCUUCCCCUUCAA